UACGUAGGUGACCAGCGUUGUCCGGAUUUACUGGGCGUAAAGAGCGCGCAGGCGGUCGUUCAAGUCGAGUGUGAAAGCCCCCGGCUCAACUGGGGAGGGUCAUUCGAUACUGAUCGACUUGAAGGCAGGAGGGGGAAGUGGAAUUCCCGGUGUAGUGGUGAAAUGCGUAGAUAUCGGGAGGAACACCAGUGGCGAAGGCGACUUCCUGGCCUGUUCUUGACGCUGAGGCGCGAAAGCGUGGGGAGCAAACAGG
rnacentral:rRNA from 1 species